rnacentral:rRNA from 1 species
GGAUUAGAUACCCUGGUAGUCCACGCCGUAAACGAUGAGUGCUAGAUGUUGGUUAUAUAAUCAGUGUCGAAGCUAACGCAUUAAGCACUCCACCUGGGGAUUACGAUCGCAAGAUUAAAACUCAAAGGAAUUGACGGGGACCCGCACAAGCAGUGGAGCAUGUGGUUUAAUUCGAUGUAACGCGAAAAACCUUACCAAUCCUUGACAUUUGUAUCGCGAGAUCAGAGAUGAUUUUUUCAGUUCGGCUGGAUACAGGACAGGUGUUGCAUGGCUGUCGUCAGCUCGUGCCG